AUGGGGAUGCGUUCCAUUAGUUUGUUGGCGGGGUAACGGCCCACCAAGACUACGAUGGAUAGGGGUUCUGAGAGGAAGGUCCCCCACAUUGGAACUGAGACACGGUCCAAACUCCUACGGGAGGCAGCAGUGAGGAAUAUUGGUCAAUGGGCGAGAGCCUGAACCAGCCAAGUAGCGUGAAGGAUGAAGGCCCUAUGGGUCGUAAACUUCUUUUAUAUGGGAAUAAAGUUUUCCACGUGUGGAAUUUUGUAUGUACCAUAUGAAUAAGGAUCGGCUAACUCCGUGCCAGCAGCCGCGGUAAUACGGAGGAUCCGAGCGUUAUCCGGAUUUAUUGGGUUUAAAGGGAGCGUAGGUGGAUUGUUAAGUCAGUUGUGAAAGUUUGCGGCUCAACCGUAAAAUUGCAGUUGAAACUGGCAGUCUUGAGUACAGUAGAGGUGGGCGGAAUUCGUGGUGUAGCGGUGAAAUGCUUAGAUAUCACGAAGAACUCCGAUUGCGAAGGCAGCUCACUAGACUGUCACUGACACUGAUGCUCGAAAGUGUGGGUAUCAAACAGGAUUAGAUACCCUGGUAGUCCACACAGUAAACGAUGAAUACUCGCUGUUUGCGAUAUACAGUAAGCGGCCAAGCGAAAGCAUUAAGUAUUCCACCUGGGGAGUACGCCGGCAACGGUGAAACUCAAAGGAAUUGACGGGGGCCCGCACAAGCGGAGGAACAUGUGGUUUAAUUCGAUGAUACGCGAGGAACCUUACCCGGGCUUAAAUUGCAACAGAAUAUAUUGGAAACAGUAUAGCCGUAAGGCUGUUGUGAAGGUGCUGCAUGGUUGUCGUCAGCUCGUGCCGUGAGGUGUCGGCUUAAGUGCCAUAACGAGCGCAACCCUUAUCUUUAGUUACUAACAGGUUAUGCUGAGGACUCUAGAGAGACUGCCGUCGUAAGAUGUGAGGAAGGUGGGGAUGACGUCAAAUCAGCACGGCCCUUACGUCCGGGGCUACACACGUGUUACAAUGGGGGGUACAGAAGGCGGCUACCUGGUGACAGGAUGCUAAUCCCAAAAACCUCUCUCAGUUCGGAUCGAAGUCUGCAACCCGACUUCGUGAAGCUGGAUUCGCUAGUAAUCGCGCAUCANCCAUGGCGCGGUGAAUACGUUCCCGGGCCUUGUACACACCGCCCGUCAAGCCAUGAAAGCCGGGGGUACCUGAAGUACGUAACCGCAAGGAGCGUCCUAGGGUAAAACUGGUAAUUGG
rnacentral:rRNA from 1 species